rnacentral:lncRNA from 1 species
GGCUAAAUACCAACGAUACAAUGCAAUUAUAGAUAGAGUUUCUUAUCUCUCAUAGGGAGAAGAGUAUAUAAAUAAUUAUAAACAUAAGGCCAUAGAAACCAGAUACGGAAACUGAGAUAUUUCUGGUGCAGUUGGAGGUGUGUCUACCAGAAGAUACCCAGCAUCAUGAAUCUACAUUGCCAGAAGCUUCAGUUCCUUAUCCCCCAACAAAAUUUCCCACGGGAACAUUAGAAUCCAUCCUCUAAGAACCAUCCAUUUUUCUGAAUCGAAGAGGUAAAGAAGGCAUUCCUCAGAUACAUUUUUAUUUAAAUUCAUUUUACUAUAAUUUUUAGUAAGAGCUUUGAUGAGAUAUAAUUUAAAUGCCAUAUAACUUACCCUUUUAAAGUGUACAAUUCUGUUUUUUUUUUCUUGUAUUCACUGAGUUGGGUAACCACUACCUCAGUCUAAUUCCAGAACAUUGCAUCUCCCCAAGGAGAACCCCACCCACGUAAGUAGUUAUUCCCAAGUCUUCC